rnacentral:rRNA from 1 species
UGAGGAAUAUUGCACAAUGGGCGAAAGCCUGAUGCAGCAACGCCGCGUGCGGGACGAAGGCCUUCGGGUCGUAAACCGCUUUUCUGAGGGACGAGCAAGGACGGUACCUCAGGAAUAAGUCUCGGCUAACUACGUGCCAGCAGCCGCGGUAAAACGUAGGAGGCGAGCGUUAUCCGGAUUUACUGGGCGUAAAGCGCACGCAGGUGGCCGUGUAAGUCGGACAUGAAAGCUCCUGGCUUAACUGGGAGAGGUGGUUCGAAACUGCAUGGCUUGAGGUUGGGAGAGGGACGUGGAAUUCCCGGUGUAGUGGUGGAAUGCGUAGAUAUCGGGAGGAACACCAGUGGCGCAAGCGGCGUCCUGGCCCACACCUGACGCUGAGGUGCGAAAGCGUGGGGAGCAAACAGG